AACGUAGGAGACAAACGUUAUCCGGAGUUACUGGGCGUAAAGGGCGUGUAGGCGGUAUGUUAAGUCUGGCGUGAAAGCUCUCGGCUAAACCGGGAGAGGUCGUUGGAUACUGGCAAACUAGAGGAUGGUAGAGGCGUGUGGAAUUCCGGGUGUAGUGGUGAAAUGCGUAAAGAUCCGGAGGAACACCAGUGGCGAAGGCGACACGCUGGGCCAUACCUGACGCUAAAGCGCGACAGCAUGGGGAGCAAACGGG
rnacentral:rRNA from 1 species